rnacentral:rRNA from 1 species
GCGAUUCGCCCUUCGGGGUGCAGCAGGCGCGAAAACUUUACAAUGCCGGCAACGGCGAUAAGGGAACCUCGAGUGCCAGGUUACAAAUCUGGCUGUCGUGAUGCCUAAAAAGCAUUGCAUAGCAAGGGCCGGGCAAGACCGGUGCCAGCCGCCGCGGUAACACCGGCGGCUCGAGUGGUAACCGUUAUUAUUGGGUCUAAAGGGUCUGUAGCCGGCCGGGUAAGUCUCUUGGGAAAUCUGGCAGCUUAACUGUCAGGCUUUCAGGAGAUACUGCCUGGCUCGAGGCCGGGAGAGGUGAGAGGUACUUCAGGGGUAGGGGUGAAAUCUUGUAAUCCCUGAAGGACCACCAGUGGCGAAGGCGUCUCACCAGAACGGACCUGACGGCAAGGGACGAAAGCUAGGGGCACGAACCGGAUUAGAUACCCGGGUAGUCCUAGCCGUAAACGAUACUCGCUAGGUGUCGGCCACGGUGCGACCGUGGUCGGUGCCGUAGGGAAGCCGUGAAGCGAGCCACCUGGGAAGUACGGCCGCAAGGCUGAAACUUAAAGGAAUUGGCGGGGGAGCAC